rnacentral:lncRNA from 1 species
GCACGAACGACCUAGAUCUGUUUCUCCUUCAGGCGCGAUCGAACGGUCCACGUACCUUCGAUCGGAUGACUCUAAUUUGUUUCUCAAAUAGGAUAGAUCGGACAGUGGAGAUUGGGCCAUGUAGCCUCAAAUGGACGGUCCGAAUCGAAGGAGGAGAAGUAUUUAAACUCAUCUUCCAUCAAAACUCUAACCCUAGCCGCAACCAGUUCACUGGAGAAGAAGAAGAAAGGCAGUCGAAAGAGAAGUCGGCCACUGUCACCGCCUCACCGAAACUCUCACCGACACCGAAAUGUGAGUUUUUUCUUCCCUUUCAAUUUAUUUUUCGAUUUUAAGCUACCUCAAACCCUUAUCGGUGCUGAAAAACCAAAUGAGAAGUCGGAAACGAAGAGCAGAAAUCGGCUGAGCCGC